rnacentral:rRNA from 1 species
AGAGUUCGAUCUUGGCUCAGGAUGAACGUUGAUGGCAUGUCUUACACAUGCAAGUAGGAUGGGAAGUGGUAUUUCCAAUGGCAAACAUGUGAGUAACGCGUAAAACCUGCCAUUGGGAGGGGAACAACUAGAAAUAGUUGCUAAUACCCCUUAGGCUGAGGAACAAAAGGAGGAAUCCGCCCGAGGAGGGGCUCACGUCUGAUUAGCUAGGUGAGGCCAUAGCUUACCAAGGCGAUGAUCAGUAGUUGGUCCGAGAGGAUGAUCCACCACACACUGGGACUGAGACAUGGCCCAAACUCCUAUAGGAGGCAGCAAUGGGGAAUUUUCCACAAUAGGAAAAGCCUGACAAAGUAAUGUCGCGUGGAGGUAGAAGACCUAUGGGUCGUGAACUUCUCCUAGAGAAAAAGCAAUGACGGUAUUCGGGGAAUAAGCAUUGGCUAACUCUGUGCCAGUAGCCGCGGUAAGAUAGAGGAUGCAUGCAUUAUUCAAAAUGAUUGAGUGUAAAACGUCUGUAGGUGGCUUUUUAAGUUGACCGUCGAACCCCAAGGCGCGCGAAUGGGAUUAGAUACCCUAGUAAUCCUAGCCGUAAACGAUGGAUACUAGGUGUUGCGUGUAUCGACCUGUGCAAUGCUGUAGCUAACGCGUUAAGUAUCUUUCCUGGGGAGUACGUAUGCAAGAAUGAAACUCAAAGGAAUCGACGGUGGCCCGCACAAGUGGUGGAACAUGUGGUUUAAUUCGAUGCAAAGAGAAGAACCUUACCAGGGCUUAACAUGCCGUGAAUCCUCUUGAAAGAGAUGGGUGCCUUUUGGAACACGGAAUAGGUGAUGCAUGGUUGUCGUUAGCUCGUGCCAUAAGGUGUUGAGUUAAGUCCCGCAACGAGUGCAAUGCUCGUGCUUAGUUGCCAACAUUAAGUUUAGAACCUUGAGCAAGAAUGUCUGUGAUAAGCUGGAGGAAGGUGAGGAUGACGUUAAGUCAUCAUGCCCCUUAUGCCCUAGGCGACAUAACACGUGCUACAAUGGCCAAGAAAAGGACAGCGAUCCCACGAGGGCGAGCUAACUCCAAAAACUCGUCCUCAGCUCAAGUUGUAGGUUGUAACUUGCCUAUAUGAAGCCAGAAUCGCUAGUAAUUGUCAAUUAGCCAUUCGACGAUGAAUUCGUUCCUAGGCAUUAUGCACACUGCUUGUCACACUAUGGUAGUUGGUCAUGCCCAAAGUCGUUACCUUAACCACUAGGAGGGGGAUGCCGAAGGCAAGGCUAGUAACUGAAGUGAAGUUGUAACAAGGUAGUUGUAUUGGAAGGUGUGGUUG